rnacentral:rRNA from 1 species
AGAGUUUGAUCCUGGCUCAGAUUGAACGCUGGCGGAAUGCUUUACACAUGCAAGUCGAACGGCAGCACGGGGCAACCUGGUGGCGAGUGGCGAACGGGUGAGUAAUAUAUCGGAACGUGCCCAAUCGUGGGGGAUAACGUAGCGAAAGUUACGCUAAUACCGCAUACGAUCUACGGAUGAAAGCGGGGGAUCGCAAGACCUCGCGCGAAUGGAGCGGCCGAUAUCAGAUUAGGUAGUUGGUGGGGUAAAGGCUCACCAAGCCAACGAUCUGUAGCUGGUCUGAGAGGACGACCAGCCACACUGGAACUGAGACACGGUCCAGACUCCUACGGGAGGCAGCAGUGGGGAAUUUUGGACAAUGGGCGAAAGCCUGAUCCAGCCAUUCCGCGUGCAGGAUGAAGGCCUUCGGGUUGUAAACUGCUUCUGUACGGAACGAAACGGCCUGUCCUAAUACGAUGGGCUAUGACGGUACCGUAAGAAUAAGCACCGGCUAACUACGUGCCAGCAGCCGCGGUAAUACGUAGGGUGCAAGCGUUAAUCGGAAUUACUGGGCGUAAAGCGUGCGCAAGCGGUUAUAUAAGACAGAUGUGAAAUCCCCGGGCUCAACCUGGGAACUGCAUUUGUGACUGUAUAGCUAGAGUACGGCAGAGGGGGAUGGAAUUCCGCGUGUAGCAGUGAAAUGCGUAGAUAUGCGGAGGAACACCGAUGGCGAAGGCAAUCCCCUGGGCCUGUACUGACGCUCAUGCACGAAAGCGUGGGGAGCAAAUAGGAUUAGAUACCCUGGUAGUCCACGCCCUAAACGAUGUCAACUGGUUGUUGGGUCUUCACUGACUCAGUAACGAAGCUAAACGCGUUAAGUGAUCCGCCUGGGGAUUACGGUCGCAAGACUAAAACUCAAAGGAAUUGACGGGGGCCCGCACAAGCGGUGGAGUAUGUGGUUUAAUUCGACGCAACGCGAAGAACCUUACCUGGGCUUGACAUCCCCGGACCGGCAUAGAAAUAUGUUUUUCCCUUUCGGGGGACCGGGAGACAGGUGCUGCAUGGCUGUCGUCAGCUCGUGUCGUGAGAUGUUGGGUUAAGUCCCGCAACGAGCGCAACCCCUGCCUUUAGUUGCCAUCAUUAAGUUGGGCACUCUAGAGGGACUGCCGGUGUUAAACCGGAGGAAGGUGGGGAUGACGUCAAGUCCUCAUGGCCUUUAUGCCCAGGGCUACACACGUACUACAAUGGGCGGUACAAAGGGCAGCGAUCCCGCGAGGGUGAGCCAACCCCAAAAAGCCGUUCAUAGUUCGGAUUGGAGUCUGCAACUCGACUCCAUGAAGGUGGAAUCGCUAGUAAUCGCGGAUCAGCAUGCCGCGGUGAAUACGAUCCCGGGCCUUGUACACACCGCCCGUCACACCACGAAAGUCGGCUGUACCAGAAGUGCGUGGGCUAACUCGCAAGAGGGGCAGCGUACCAAGGUGUGGUCGGUAAUUGGGGUGAAGUCGUAACAAGGUA